rnacentral:rRNA from 2 species
UUCGGCGUCCGCAUUGUAAUCUCAAGAAGUGUUUUCCGCUUCGGACCAUGCCUAAGUCCCUUGGAAAAGGGCAUCAUAGAGGGUGAUAAUCCCGUACAUGGCAUGGAGCGCCCGAAGCUUUGUGAUACGCUUUCUAAGAGUCGAGUUGUUUGGGAAUGCAGCUCAAAAUGGGUGGUAAAUGCCAUCUAAGGCUAAAUAUUGGGGAGAGACCGAUAGCGAACAAGUACAGUGAUGGAAAGAUGAAAAGAACUUUGAAAAGAGAGUUAAACAGUACGUGAAAUUGCCAAAAGGGAAGGGUAGGAGGUCAGAGAUGCGGCCUGGGAUUCAGCCUUGCUUUUGCUUGGUGUUUUUCCCAGAUUGCAGGCCAACGUCGGUUUUGGGCACUGGAGAAGGGUAGGAGGAACGUGGCACCUCUCGGGGUGUGUUAUAGCCUCCUACUGGAUACAGCGACCGAGACCGAGGACAGCAGCGUACUCGCAAGAGCGGGCCUUCGGGCACCUUUACGCUUAGGGCGUUGGCAUAAUGGCCCUCUACCACC